GACGAACGCUGGUGGCGUGCUUAACACAUGCAAGUCGAACGGGAUUUAGUAAACAGAAGCCUCGGUGGAAGAUUACUAAUGAGAGUGGCGAACGGGUGAGUAACGCGUGAGCAACCUGCCUAUGACAGUGGGAUAGCCUCGGGAAACCGGGAUUAAUACCGCAUAAAAUCGUAGAAACACAUGUUUUAACGGUCAAAGAUUUAUCGGUCAUAGAUGGGCUCGCGUCUGAUUAGCUAGUUGGUGAGAUAACAGCCCACCAAGGCGACGAUCAGUAGCCGGUAUGGGAGGAAGAACGGCCAAAAUUGAACUGAGACAAGGUACAAACUCCUACGGGAGGGAGCAGUGGGGAAUAUUGCACAAUGGGGGAAACCCUGAUGCAGCGACGCCGCGUGAACGAAGAAGGUAUUCGUAUCGUAAAGUUCUGUCCUAUGGGAAGAUAAUGACAGUACCAUAGAAGAAAGCUCCGGCUAAAUACGUG
rnacentral:rRNA from 1 species